AGCCUGGUAGCGGAUGGUUUCCGCACCUGCCCUCGAUUCCUUGCAUUUUGACCCAUUUGUCCGCAGGCCAUCGCUCGUUCGAUUCGAGCCCAGGCUA